AUUGAACGCUGGCGGCAGGCCUAACACAUGCCAGUCGAACGAGUGGCGGACGGGUGAGUAAUGUCUGGGAAACUGCCUGAUGGAGGGGGAUAACUACUGGAAACGGUAGCUAAUACCGCAUACCAUCAGAUGUGCCCCGGUGGGAUUAGCUUGUUGGUGGGGUAACGGCUCACCAAGGCGACGAUCCCUAGCUGGUCUGAGAGGAUGACCAGCCGAGCUGGAACUGAGAAACGGUGCCGACGCCUACGGGAGGAAGGCGGGGGGAAUAUUGGACAAGGGGCGAAAGCCUGAGGCAGCCAGGCCGGGUGUAUGAAGAAGGGCUUCGGGUUGUAAAGUACUUUCAGCGGGGAGGCGUUACCCGCAGAAGAAGCACCGGCUAACUCCGUGCCAGCAGCCGCGGUAAUAC
rnacentral:rRNA from 1 species